rnacentral:lncRNA from 1 species
AGAAGUCACUAUAGCAUUAAAACACAGCAGGGUGGGAGAAAUAAAAGGAAAACAAUAAAAACAAUGGCCCUUAAAAACCCAAGAGAAUGCCUCCUUUGGAAGUGUGUACUUUCUUAUUCAGAAAAGGUAUCACCUUAAUAAGAAUUAUAGGCAAAGAGGUUUCACUGUUCCAUGCUGUGUGGACGAAAAGAGGGAGAAAAGACUGACUUAUCAAAGGCACUGGCAGUUAUGAAAGACCUGAAGCAUACUCCAGUGAUCAGUUAGUGGAGAAUUAACUUCUGGAACAGUCUCAAAGAUUUUUCUUGAAAGGGAAGUGAGAUGGGUAUUUCAGCUAUCUUCUGGAGAUCAUCAAGCACAUGCCUUGUAAAAGAAGUCUUUUCAUUAUGUCAGCAAAGAAAUCUGCAAGAAAGAAAGUUACCUUUGACAGAGAUUUUAUGCCCAAGCUGCAAUCAUUGGAUUGCUGAGGAAGUUCUGGAAACUGAGCAGAGAGACCUUCCAUGUCAGCAGGCACCUACCUGGAGCCAGAGUUAGAGUUAGACCCAACACCAUAGGCACACCUGAGUUGCCUGGAAAUCAGAUGAAGCUCAAAAGGCAAACUGGUCGUCUUCAGGAGCUAAUUUGACGGGAAAAGCUCUUCAAGAAACAGCUAGCCACUACAGAAGAAAACAUCUCCCAGAAAUAAAAAAUCCACCUCUUUUAUAUACUCAAAGAUUGUCUUAGUUUCCACAUUUAUUCUAAAUAAUAUUUUUUAGUAUAAAAUUACAUUGGAACAGUCUUGUUAGCUAUAUAUAUUCUCUUUAAAUCUUGGC